rnacentral:rRNA from 1 species
AUGCUCAAGACAGACUCCGGCCUUCUCUCGACCGACCUUGACAAGGUGGUCAAGCCCAAUGUGGUGUUCCUGCAGCAGUGCGGGCUAGGUGCUUGUGAUAUUGCCAAGCUCUGUAUCUGUGUGCCCAGGAUGCUGACCACCAACCCGGAGCGCGUCCGGGCAAUGGUGGCGUGCGCUGAAAGAUUAGGCAUGCCGCGUGGCUCUGGGAUGUUCAGGCAAACGCUACAGCCUGUCGCGUUUCUGAGCGAGGAGAAGAUCGCCACCAAAUUGGAUUACCUGAAGAAGACGUUCAGAUGGUCUGAUGCCCAAGUGAGCAUUGCUGCGCGUAAGUACCCGAGUCUGCUAAGGACGUCAAGUGGCGCGCUGCAGCAAAGAUCUCAAUUCCUCCUAUGGGAGGUGGGGGUGGAACCGGCGUACAUUGCUCAUCGACCGAUAAUACUCGGUUAUAGCAUGGAGGGCCGACUCAGACCCCGGUACUCUGUUAUCCAGUUUCUUAAGGCAAAUGGAUUGCUAGGUCAGUACCGGGACUACUAUAGCAUAGUCAUGCUGAGCGAGAAGGUAUUUGUGGAGAAGUUCAUAUGCCCUCACAAGGAAGCUGCACCACACCUCACUGAAGACUAUGCAACCGCUUGCAAAGGGGAAAUGCCGUCUAAUUUUGGAAUAGCCUCAGAAAAUUGGUAA